rnacentral:rRNA from 1 species
UAGGGAAUCUUCGGCAAUGGACGGAAGUCUGACCGAGCAACGCCGCGUGAGUGAAGAAGGUUUUCGGAUCGUAAAGCUCUGUUGUAAGAGAAGAACGAGUGUGAGAGUGGAAAGUUCACACUGUGACGGUAUCUUACCAGAAAGGGACGGCUAACUACGUGCCACCACCCGGGGAAUACUUAGGUCCCGAGCGUUGUCGGGAUUUUGGGGCGAAAGCGAGCGCAGGGGUAAAAAAAUUCAGAUAAAUAAGUCUGAAGUUAAAGGCUGUGGCUUAACCAUAGUACGCUUUGAAAACUGUUUAACUUGAGUGCAAGAGGGGAGAGUGGAAUUCCAUGUGUAGCGGUGAAAUGCGUAGAUAUAUGGAGGAACACCGGUGGCGAAAGCGGCUCUCUGGCUUGUAACUGCCGCUGAGGCUCGAAAGCGUGGGGAGCAAACAGGAUUAGAUACCCUGGUAGUCCACGCCGUAAACGAUGAGUGCUAGGUGUUAGACCCUUUCCGGGGUUUAGNNGUNUCUNACGCAUUAANCACUCCGCCUGNGAGUACGACCGCAAGGUUG